CUGCUUUGGCAGCAUAUGUACUAAAAUUUGAACAAUAUAGAGAUGAUUAGCAUGGCCCCUGUGAAAGGAUGAUACACAAAUUCAUGAAGCAUUCCAUAUUGUU